GAUGAAGAACGUAGCGAAAUGCGAUAAGUAAUGUGAAUUGCAGAAUCCAGUGAAUCAUCGAAUCUUUGAACGCACAUUGCGCCCGCCAGUAUUCUGGCGGGCAUGCCUGUCCGAGCGUCAUUUCAACCAUCAAGCCCCAGGCUUGUGUUGGGGACCUGCGUCCGACGCAGGCCCUGAAAACCAGUGGCGGGCUCGCUGUCACACCGGGCGUAGUAGAUUUUAUCUCGCUCUGGGCGUGCUGCGGGUUCCGGCCGUUAAAAAACCCUUUUAACCCAAGGUUGACCUCGGAUCAGGUAGGAAUACCCGCUGAACUUAAGCAUAUCAAUAAGCGGAGGA
rnacentral:misc_RNA from 1 species